AUUGAACGCUGGCGGCAGGCCUAACACAUGCAAGUCGAGCGGACGAAGGGAGCUUGCUCCUGGAUUCAGCGGCGGACGGGUGAGUAAUGCCUAGGAAUCUGCCUGGUAGUGGGGGAUAACGUCCGGAAACGGGCGCUAAUACCGCAUACGUCCUGAGGGAGAAAGUGGGGGAUCUUCGGACCUCACGCUAUCAGAUGAUCCUAGGUCGGAUUAGCUAGUUGGUGGGGUAAAGGCCUACCAAGGCGACGAUCCGUAACUGGUCUGAGAGGAUGAUCAGUCACACUGGAACUGAGACACGGUCCAGACUCCUACGGGAGGCAGCAGUGGGGAAUAUUGGACGAUGGGCGAAAGCCUGAUCCAGCCAUGCCGCGUGUGUGAAGAAGGUCUUCGGAUUGUAAAGCACUUUAAGUUGGGAGGAAGGGCAGUAAGUUAAUACCUUGCUGUUUUGACGUUACCAACAGAAUAAGCACCGGCUAACUUCGUG
rnacentral:rRNA from 1 species